rnacentral:tRNA from 1 species
GGGGGUGUAGCUCAGGGGUAGAGCACAUGCUUGGCGUGCAUGAGGUCCUGGGUUCAAUCUCCAGCGCCUCUG